AAUCAUUCCCCCCUUUUUUUUUCAAACAUCGCCUCCUGCAACGCAACCAAGUAUAGGAGGUCCAGCCUGCCCAGUGACUACAAGUUCAACGGCCGCGGUAUUUUGACCGUGCAAAGGUAGCGCAAUCACUUGUCUUUUAAAUAGAGACCUGUAUGAAUGGCUAAACGAGGGCUUAACUGUCUCCCCUUUCAAGUCAGUGAAAUUGAUCUACCCGUGCAGAAGCGGGUAUAAUACUACAAGACGAGAAGACCCUUUGGAGCUUAAGGUACAAAACUCAACCACGUUAAGCAACUCAAUAAAAAGCAAAAACCUUGUGGACCAUGAGAUUUUACCUUCGGUUGGGGCGACCACGGAGGAAAGAAAAGCCUCCAGGUGGACUGGGAAAACCUCCUAAAACCAAGAGAGACAUCUCUAAGCCACAGAACAUCUGACCAAAUAUGAUCCGGCUAACACAUAGCCGAUCAACGAACCAAGUUACCCUAGGGAUAACAGCGCAAUCCUCUCCCAGAGUCCAUAUCGACGAGGGGGUUUACGACCUCGAUGUUGGAUCAGGACAUCCUAAUGGUGCAGCCGCUAUUAAGGGUUCGUUUGUUCAACGAUUAAAGUCCUACGUGAUCUAGUUUCCCAAAACGGGGAAAA
rnacentral:rRNA from 1 species